rnacentral:rRNA from 1 species
UACGUAGGUGGCAAGCGUUGUCCGGAAUUAUUGGGCGUAAAGCGCGCGCAGGCGGCCUCUUAAGUCUGAUGUGAAAGCCCCCGGCUCAACCGGGGAGGGCCAUUGGAAACUGGGAGGCUUGAGUAUAGGAGAGAAGAGUGGAAUUCCACGUGUAGCGGUGAAAUGCGUAGAGAAUGUGGAGGAACACCAGUGGCGAAGGCGACUCUUUGGCCUAUAACUGACGCUGAGGCGCGAAAGCGUGGGGAGCAAACAGG